rnacentral:tRNA from 1 species
GCCCAGGUAGCUCAGUUGGUAGAGCAGGGGAUUGAAAAUCCCCGUGUCGGCGGUUCGAUUCCGUCCCUGGGCACAA